rnacentral:lncRNA from 10 species
GUUGAACUGUGUUGGCCUCCAUCUACUGUACCAUGAAUCAUCUGUUACGGCAGUGCGCCACCCAGCUUUCUUUCAUUCUCAAUGACUCCUAGGCAUCUAAAGUAUGCUGGGUGCCCUCAGUGCACUGGAACAGAUAAGACAUAAACCAGCUUCUCAGGCAAACCCCCCAAAGCCCAAAUGUUGGAUGCACACUACUUCAACACUUUCCCUCCUUGGAGUCAAGUCAGAGUUGGAGUUUUCUUCCACUUGUUCCACGCUUAGAUGGGGAGAGGAGCUAUAGCAAAUAACUGAAGCUUAAUUGAUCAACUCAAGUGAUGCCUGGAGUUCUCAUCACAUUAAUCCUUUAGUAGUGGCUGUACCCUUAGAUUAAUAUUUG